rnacentral:rRNA from 1 species
UAGGGAAUCUUCCGCAAUGGGCGAAAGCCUGACGGAGCAACGCCGCGUGAGUGAUGAAGGUCUUCGGAUCGUAAAACUCUGUUAUUAGGGAAGAACAAAUGUGUAAGUAACUAUGCACGUCUUGACGGUACCUAAUCAGAAAGCCACGGCUAACUACGUGCCAGCAGCCGCGGUAAUACGUAGGUGGCAAGCGUUAUCCGGAAUUAUUGGGCGUAAAGCGCGCGUAGGCGGUUUUUUAAGUCUGAUGAGAAAGCCCACGGCUCAACCGUGGAGGGUCAUUGGAAACUGGAAAUCUUGAGUGCAGAAGAGGAGAGUCGAAUUCCAUGUGUAGCGGUGAAAUGCGCAGAGAUAUGGAGGAACCCCAGUGGCGAAUGCGACUUUCUGGUCUGUAAAUGACGCUGCUGUGCGAAAGCGUGGGGAUCAAACAGG